rnacentral:tRNA from 1 species
GUCCUAAUAGUAUAAAUAAUUACUCUGGUCUUGUAAACCAGAAAUGAAGAAACAAUCUUCUUAGGACA